rnacentral:rRNA from 1 species
CUUGAAUAUAGUUGAAGUGAACGGAAUGUAACAUGUAGCGGUGAAAUGCAUAGAGAUGUUACAGAACACCAAUUGCGAAGGCAGUUCACUAAGCUAUUAUUGACGCUAAGGGACGAAAGCGUGGGUAGCGAACAGGAUUAGAUACCCUGGUAGUCCACGCCGUAAACUAUGAUUACUCGAUGUCGGCGAUAUAUUGUCGGUGUCCAAGCGAAAGUGAUAAGUAAUCCACCUGGGGAGUACGAUCGCAAGGUUGAAACUCAAAGGAAUUGACGGGGGCCCGCACAAGCGGUGGAGCAUGUGGUUUAAUUCGAUGAUACGCGAGGAACCUUACCUGGGCUUAAAUGCAACAUGACCGUUCUGGAAACAGGACUUUCUUCGGACAGGUUGCAAGGUGCUGCAUGGUUGUCGUCAGCUCGUGCUGUGAGGUGUCGGGUUAAGUCCCAUAACGAGCGCAACCCCUAUUCUUAGUUGCCAGCGGGUAAUGCCGGGGACUCUAAGAAAACUGCCCGUGCAAACGGAGAGGAAGGUGGGGAUGACGUCAAAUCAUCACGGCCCUUCCGUCCAGGGCUACACACGUGCUACAAUGGUCAGUACAAAGGGCAGCUACCAGGUGACUGGAUGCUAAUCUCUAAAGCUGAUCUCAGUUCGGAUCGAAGUCUGCAGCUCGACUUCGUGAAGUUGGAAUCGCUAGUAAUCGCGCAUCAGCCAUGCGCGGUG